UUUUUUUUUUUGGUUCUUUUUUUCCGGAGCUGGGGAUCAAACCCAGGGCCUUCCGCUUCCUAGGCAAGUGCUCUACCACUGAGCUAAAUCCCCAACCCCCACUGAGCUAAAUCCCCAACCCCAUCAAUACUCUUAACCACUGAGCCAUCUCUCAAUUUGAGCCUCCUGGGACUCUACCUAGGUACGGUGUGCUAGGUUAUCCAUGUCUCCUCCCCAGGCAGGGCCCCUGUUGGAUUCCAAAGGAGGUUGGGAAACCAGAGCUGCUUUGGAACCCACAGGAGUCCACCUAGACUGGUACUGGAUACACCAACUGAAAACCAUUUCCAAGUCAUGGCUGGGCAGACUCACCCCUGGGGAUGGUGGUUGAUAUUGACAGAGCAGUUGUGUUUAUUGACUUGAUUCAGCAGCCCAGGGAGUGUUAUUGUGACAUCAGAAUACUGCAUAUUAUUAAACAAAGCCAAAGCGGGGGAAAGGGAGAUGGAGACAGAGGCUAAUGUCUACCUAUGUAGACCGUAGGCUUGCACAGCAUCUCUUCCUUUAACACGGACUAAGUGCCAGUGCCUCUCGAAAGAUGAUUGAUCAGGAAGUGUUGUAAGUGAUGCCGGCUGUCGGCAGAGCACUCUGCUGCACAUCAUAAAUAAAAUCGUCCUUCUAAGCGGAGGGAUCGACACGGCUUUUAUUUCUCUGAAAGUGACAGACGAGCUGAUUUGGCUUUAUUCCAUCUGGAGAUGGAGAUGUUUGAUCCUGAGGUUAGGAGUAUGCCUUGGUGACAGCUAAAAGCUAAGCCACCCAUGAAGAAAGGUUUGUCAUUUACACCAAAGUGGGAACCCACAGGACAGCAUGCUCUGUGAGUAGGGUCGGUAUGUCUGUCUGAUAUUAGAAAGCACCUGAAUCUGUCCAGUGUCUACGUCCUCAGCUCAGGGGAUUCACAUGCAUGGUCUUCAGAGGUGGGAGCUGCCGUUGGCCUGAUUUUGCAGGUAGGGAAACGGACUCUUAGGCUAAAUAUCUGUCAACAUCAGAGAGGAACAGGGGUUUCAAAAGUCUGUCUUCAUUAGAAUCUGUUCCCCACCCUCUGCCAUGGGAUGGCUCCAUAGAUAAGGCUGCCAAGACUUAUGACCUGAGUUCAGUUUCUGGAACCCAUAUGGUAGGAGAGGACCAACUCCUGCCAAGUUCAGAAUUCACUAUGUAAGCUAGGCUGUCCUUAAUCUACCUGCCUCUGCUCCCAAGUGCUGGCACUGAAGGCCUGCACCACCAUGCCUGACAUUUCCCUGAUAUGUCUUUGGUCUUUAGUGGGACCUUUCCUGCCCUGGACUAUAUGAAUGAAAGUCGUAGGAGAUGAACUCGUAUUCGCUUUAUAGAUUUUGGUAUGCUUUCCCUGGCCCUAGCUUUUCACAGACGGUGGCUUUAAAAUGUCUACGGGUUCUUCACAGUCUUCAAAUGGAAGAGUCCACUUGUCUUCUCCAUCAGCAGAGAGAGACCUAAGAAUCUGUGCUGUCUUAGUUAGGGUUUUACUGCUAUGAACAGACACUAUGACCAAGGCAAUUCUUAUAAGGAUAACAUCAGGGCUGGCUUACAGCUUCAGAGGCUCAGUCCAUCAUCAUCAAGGCAGGAACAUGGCAGCAUCCAGGCAGGCCUGGUGCAGAGGGAGCUAAGGGUUUUACAUCUUCAUCUGAAGGCUGCUAGCAGAAUACUGGCUUCCAGGCAGCUAGGAUGAGGGUCUUAAAGCCCAUGGCAAUGGUGACACACCUAAUCCAACAGGGUCACACCUUCUAAUAGUGCCACUCCCUGGGCCAAGCAUGUACAAACCAUCACAUGUGCCUUUAGCAUAAGGUCACAAAAAGCAUCCUAGACUUCUGUGUGCGCGCGCUUUCUCUCUCCCUUUCCCCCUCUCUCUCCCUCUCUCUCUCAAGAUUAAUUUGUUUUGUGUAACUACACUGUACACUGUCAUUGUCUUAAGACACACCAGAAUGUAUGCAUGGGUUUCCAUUCCAGAUGGUUGUGAGCCACCAUGUGGUUGCUGGGAAUUGAACUCAGGACCUCUGGAAGAGCAGUCAGUGCUCUUAGCCACUGAGCCAUCUCUCCAGCCCCUGUGUGCCCUCUCAAGCUACUCACUUCACAGAGGGAAGCCACUUCUGUGGUAUGAGGACACUAAGCACUAUGUGGAGGUCUGAGGAGCUCUGUGGUAUGAGUGUUAGCACCAAUGUUAGGACCAAUGGUGGGGUUUAAAUCUCAGCCUGCGCCUGGACAGAACACACCAAGCCAACAUGGUUUCACGUGGAAAGAUUUGAUGAGAGAAGAAGAGUAGAAGGAGGGAUAAGUAAAGGAGGCCGGUCAUGGGCCCGGGGAGGGAAGGGGGGAGGAAUGGGGAGAGAAGGGGCAGGGACAGAGGGGAAGAGAGAAGAGAAGAACAAAGAGAAUGAGAGGGGCAAGCUGCCCCUUUUAUAGUGUCAGGCACAGUUGACCGUUGCCAGGCAACUGUGGGGCGGAGCAUACCUGGGUGUUCCCAGGUAGCUGUGGGGUGGAGCUUAGACAGAAGACCAACAAGGGACACCUAAGCACUAAGCUGAGGGUGCACUAUCUUAAUCGAAUCUCGGCCAGUGCCCGGAUAGAAGACACCCAAACACCAUGGUUUCACAAUGGUGGAGAGGUUUAAUGAGAGAAGAGUAGAAGAGAGGGAAGGCGACCGGCCAUGGGCGCGCGCGCGCGCGCGCGCGCGCGCGUGUGUGUGUGUAUGGGGGCAAGAACAGAGAAGAACAAAGAGCAAGAGGAGUAAGAGAGGGUAAGAGAGAGGGGGGGGCAAGCAGCCCCCUUAUAUAGUCAGGCACAACUGGCUGUUGCUAGGCGACUGUGGGGCGGGGCAUACCUGGCUGUUCCCAGGUAGCUGUGGGGGUGGAGCUUAGACAGAAACUCAACAAUGAGGGCACCUAAGCACCAUGUGGAGAUCUGCAUGGUGAGGAGGCACAAGCUGAGGGUGGACUAUUCUAAAAGUAGGUCCUCCUCCUCCCACACAUCCCUUCAGAAAACUGAGGCCGACCGUAACCUCGAGAGCUACUAGACUCAGAACAUCUCAGACUUACAGACCUCCGAAUUCUAGAUCUAUUAAAAUCUGCACAAGAUGAGGCUGGGUUGAGAAGCGGGCUUUUGCUGCAUGCACGAUGCCCUGGGCUUGCUCUCCCGUACCCCAAACACAGGAGGUGGUGGCACAAGCCCAUAAUUCCAGCACUUGGCUGGUGGAGGCAGGAGGAUCCUAGAAGUUCAAAACCAUCCUUGGGGGGCUGGAGAAAUGGCUCAGCGGUUAAGAGCUCUGACUGCUCUUCCAGAGGUCCUGAGUUCAAUUCCCAGCAACCACAUGGUGGCUCACAACCAUCUGUAAUGAGAUCUGGUGUGUCUGAAGACAGCUACAGUGUACUCGUAUACAUUAAAUAGAUAAAUAAAUAAAUCUUAAAAAAAAAAUCCUUGGCUACACAGUGGGUUUGGAACCAGCCUAGGAUACACGAGACCUUGUUUCAAACACAAAAUAAGUAGUGUUGAGAUGAUGCUAAUUGUUACAUUGAGUCAAUAACCUAAGGAUAAUUCACCUCAUCACAGUCACUAAUAUACUACAUGGGUUACAAAUGUAUAACCCAGCACACACAAGGACUAGCAAAAAAAAUGUCCAUAAAUUGCCAUCGUCUUAUCAAAGCAGCCCUGAGCCCGAGUGGUAGGGAAGAUAGCUUUCACAUCCUCCUUACUGGGCGGUUUCUCUCAACUCGGCAGUUGUUGUAGCUCACUAGUCUAACUCCGGUGUUAGCUAAGCAGGCUUAGCUUAUUUGUGGUUAACCACAGGCUUCACAGAUUAUGCAGAUUCGGUGAAGGCGGGUUAGUUUAACCAAUCUCGUAGACCCGUAGCUUUAUUUGCUCACUUAAAACAAUUAUUCUAAAUCCGGGAAAUGGGGCAGGCAGAGGUGGCACACACCUUUAAUUCCAAGCACUUGGGAGGAAGAGGCAGAGGCAGGCAGAUCUCUGCAUUUGAGGUCAGGUUGGUCUUCUGGGCAAAUUCCGGGACAGCCAGGGCUACACAGAGAAACCAGUCUUGAAACAAAACAAAACAAAACAAAACACCCGCAACCGCAACAAACCUACAAAAAGACAAAGCAAGCAGGUGAACAAACAAAAAGGCCCCAGGAAAUUAGAGCUAUUGAUUCUCAAAUCCUUCUUACAGGAUUAGGAAGACAGUGACGUAAUCCCCUCCCCCACUCUACAGCCCCCACCCUUCGCCUUUGAGACAGGGUUUCUCUCUGUAGCCCUCUGUAGUUGUCCUGGAACUUGCUCAGUAGACGGGGCUGGCCUCAAACUCAGAGAUCAGCCUGCCUCUGCCUGAGUGCUGAGAGGAAAGGUGUGACAGUAAGUGGCUCUUCUCUCUCCUCUUGAAAUAAGAGCUCACCCUGUAGUCCCAGGUCCUCCAAAGCUCAAAUGUACCCCAAACUGACCCACAACUCACAGCGCUCUUGCUACCUCAGUAUCUCAACGUGAGCAUUAUAAGUACAAGCCAUCAUGCCUGGCUUGUUUUCAGGAAAUCUCAGGCAAGUAAGCAGGCUCCGUGUGUCAAGACUGAGGACCUGCGUUUGACCCAGAACCCACAGGGUAGAAGGAAGAAAGUGACUUCUUUGAUCUGUUCUCAGACUUCCACGUAUAUGCUGUGGUAUAUACAUACACACAGAAAUACAGAAAUAAAAUCAGUAUCUCUAUGACUUGGGCAGGACUUCAGGAGACGAAGCCCCAAAUAUCUGCUUAAAUCGUCAUAAACACCAUUUCUGGGUGUUCAAAUCUUUAAUCCCAGGAGAGACAGAUGUAGGAGGAUUUGUGAGUUCCAGGACAACCAGGACUACACAGAGAGACCCUGACUCAAAAACAAAACAAAACAAACAAAUAAACAAAAACAAACAAAAAAAAAAACAAAAAAAAUCCCAAAAAUCUGAAAAGUUCAAGGCAUUAGGGGUACUGUGAGUGGUUAAUAUUAUGAUAAACCAAACCCAGCUUCCUAAAAAUUCACUUUAGAUUCUGCUCACAGCUCUCCACUCUCUCACCCCCAUAGCUCCUCCCUCCAUCCUCCUUCCCCUCUCCUCUGAGAAAGGGGAAGGAAGCCCUCCCUGGGUACCAACCCACCCUGGAACCUCAGGUCACUGCGGGACUAGGCACAUCCUCUCCCACAAAAGCAGCGAGACAAAGCAGUCCAGUCAGGGGAAACAGGAACCACAGGCAGGCAGCAGAGUGAGGGACAGCCCCUGUCCCAAUUGUCAGGGGAGCUGCAUGAAGACCAAGCUGCACAUCUGCUACACAUGUGCACAGGAGGGAAGCGGGAGGAGGGGACCUAGGUCCAGCCCUUGUAUGCUCUUUGGUUGGCAGAUUAGCCUCUGGGAGCCCCCAAGGGUGCAGCAGUUAGUUGACUCUUGUUUUUCUUGUGGCAUUCCUAUCCAUUCCAAGUCCCUCAAUCCUUCCCCCGACUCUUCACAAAACUCCCCAAGCUCCGCCUAAUGCCAAACCAAGUUUUUAAUCACCAAGGUACUUAGUCUGUUUCUCAGAAACUCUUUCCAAACUCACCUUUAUAACCAUUACUUCUUACAAGUAUUGGUGAGAAUCCCUAAAGAAGCUGUGUCUACAGAGACUGGAUGACUGAAUAGAAUUUUAGGAAUGUUGCAGCUACCAUCAUUCCUAAGGCUAGUCCAAAGGCUAGUUACCUUAUCUUGGACUAGUGAUAGCCCUUUGGAACAGGCAUUCCUCGACCAUCUCUGAAUCUGAACCAACAUCCCGUGACGAACAGAUAAUAUUUUAGAAAUCUAUUAACAGACUACUGGCUUCUACCAUCCCAGAAGCUAAGAAUGCCAUCAGAGAGCAUCUUGGGUCUACAGAAAAGCUUCCCCAUUUUGCUGUACCUGACUCUUUGAUAUACUCACCAAAGUAUUCCAAAGUAUUUUUAGUUGGUUCUUUUUUUUUUUUCGGAGCUGGGGACCGAACCCAGGGCCUUGCGCUUCCUAGGUAAGCGCUCUACCACUGAGCUAAAUCCCCAGCCCUCAAAGUAUUUUUAAACUUACCUUGAUUUAUUACUUUCUCUGUCCUGUAAAACUUCACAAAAUGACUCUCAUGCUGGAACAUGGGAUGGGGUAACCUAAAUCUGUGUUCACAGGCCAUGGUCCCUCAAAUGACCCCAGGAUAAACUAUCCCUUAUUCCCUUCAAGAUGAGAGCAGUCGUUUUUGUUUCUGUUUUUUUGCAACAACACAAUAUCCUAUAUACAAUACAACUGUCCUAUUAAUUAGUAUCCCAACAUCUUCAUAAACAGGGGUCAUGAAGGAUUCUAUCCAGAGUUCUGUUCUCACCAUGAGAAGCCCCCCAAGAUGGCAACUAUUACCUGCGGGUUCAGGUUAUAAUGACAGAGGCACGGCACGGCAUCUGGAACCUAUAGUCUCCUACAUGAGGACGGUCUACAAGGACACAGGCACCCAAUGAGUCUUGUUUUACCAAGAACACACAGUGGUGGGUGAAUGUCUCAGAUCUGAGGGUGUGUGUGCCUGGGUGCAUGUGUGCGUGCAUGCGUGUGUGUGUGUGUGUGGUUAGGUCACACCUGUUCACAUCUUAUUCCGGAAACAACUGGAUCUCAAACCUGUACUCCCCUUUUCCUCCCCUCAGAUUAGAAACAAUGACAAGCAGGUUCAAUUUAGUCUCUGGGCUUUUGUUUUCACUGAGACCCCUCCCUGCUCAACAGAAGAAUGGAUCUGCCUCCUGCUCUUUUCCAGAACCUUCUGGACUUCUCUCCCCACAGUCAAGAGGGGACUGUAAGCUUUGGGCCUCUGCUGAAGAUGCUGUGCUGUCAGAACUGGCUUUCUUUUGGUUAGGAGAAAACCUGACAUGAACUGUGUAGGUUGCAGAUUUAGUGUUAUUGUUUUGUUGUGUUUUUUUGAGACGUGGUUUUACUGUGCAGCCCUGGGUGACUCUGAAGUUGCAGUGAUCCUCCUGCCCUCUGCAUCCCAAGCGCCAGGAUUAUUUAUGCACACGCGUGACUAUGGAUGUUUUACUCUUUCUUCUCGGAUCUUAGUCUGGGAGAUGAGCUGUACAUUACAGAAAGAUGUAUGUCACUGAUACUAUAGGAAGUUUGGGCUGAAAAAUUACAGUCUUAUUCAAUUGUGUGCCAGAAUCAUACUCUUGUUGGCAUUUACUCCAAAAGGCAAUAUGAAUUCAAUCACAUCUUUCAAGACCCUUUCAUUACUUGACCAGAAAGCUUUACUUUUUAAAUGAAGUUUAAUCACAGAAAUAGGGGAUUGGUGUCUCCCUAGUGUUGUUCUGAGGCUUGAAUAGUGUCUUUUUUUUUUUUUUUUUUUCGGAGCUGGGGACCGAACCCAGGGCCUUGCGCUUGCCGGGCAAGCGCUCUAACCACUGAGCUAAAUCCCCAGCCCCAGGCUGUCAGAUUUUUAUUGACAGGUUAUACUUCCAUAUAGUACACAAGAAACAUCUCUCUACAACUUGGGGCAGUAUAAUUUAAUAAGGUAAGUGUCUGCCCUUAAUGAAUUUUAAAGAUAUUUUUAUAAACAAUUAUUUUUCCCAUAAGGCAAUGCUGCAAUGCCCAACAUUUUACAGGGAUGCUGGGAAUCUGAACUUGGGUGUUCGUGCUUCAACAGCAAACACUUCCUGAAUGAGCUACCCCUCAAGCACUUGACUGUUGAACCAUCACUGUUUAAGAUCACAUAGCUGCUUACUUUCCUCAAGCCUACUGCAUACACUUUUUUUUUUCUUUUUUUCGGGGCUGGGGACCGAACCCAGGGCCUUGCGCUUCCUAGGCAAGCGCUUUACCACUGAGCCAAAUCCCCAACCCCUACUGCAUACACUUUAGGUGAGUUUCCCAUUCCCUUGGUCUAUUCGCUCCUGGAAGUCCACCUAAAGCACUUGUUGUUAAGCUCCAUUUCCUGGAAACCUCAAAACAAGCUGUUUUCUUAAAAAGACUCUGCAAGGGCAUCUUCAACACUACUGGUCCACGGGUUUGAGGUUUGCUUGGAGACAAUUCAUGUCUCCCCUGUCCCAGAAGGCCCCUGGCUUUCUGUUAUGUCAACAGCCUGUCGUUAUCACACCACACAUUGCCGUGUCCUAUAACUGCCCUCUGCAAGUGCAGUUCUUCCCGAUCAUGCUACCCAGCAGAAGACAGAGGGAAGAGGCCAGCCAGACAUGUGCGCCCUGAAACCCAGCUUUGCUGAGUCUCCGUCGCCAACGUCUCUGCUGUGGCCCUCCAUUAACCAACACGGUGCCCACAGUGACUGUGCCAUCAGAUGAGAUCAAAGGAAAUGUCACAUGUUUCUGGUGCAGUGCCUGGCUGACAUGAAGCCCUCAAUAACCCAAUGGCAGUAGGAGAGUGUGUAGCCUACAGGACAAUGCCGUGCCAUUCCUCAGACGUUGCUCACCUUGCUUUUUGAAACAGAAUCUCUCACUGGUCUGGGAUUCACUGCUUAGAUGAGGCUUGCUAGCCAGCGAGCCGUAAGGAUCCACACCUCUCUGCAUCCACCACCGUGCUUGGCUUGCAUUUUUCUUUCUUUUAUCAAAUAUGGGUUCUGGGAAUCGAACCCCGGCCCUCAUUCUUGCACAGGCGACAGAUUAGCCACUGAGCUCUGAUCCCACCCCACGGGAAGGUAAUUAAGAACAGACAGACUGAUCAACGCUUUGAACUCUGAAUUAGACAGUUUGUAUUCUAAAACACACACAAAUCUGUACCAAUUAAAUACAAAGUCGAAAGGGAAUAUAAAUUACAGUUUUUGUUUUCAACGGAUGAUAGUAAAACACUACCGUCAGCUCACCACACACACAAACAGCAGCUUUUCAAUAGAGUCUCCCAGGCCUCCCUCACCAAUGCUAAGGACUUAAAAAAUAAAAA